GACGAACGCUGGCGGCGUGCUUAACACAUGCAAGUCGAGCGGUAAGGCCCUUUCGGGGGUACACGAGCGGCGAACGGGUGAGUAACACGUGGGUGACCCGCCCUCAGCUCUGGGAUAAGCCUGGGAAACUGGGUCUAAUACUGGAUAUGACUCCACGGUGCAUGUCGUGGGGUGGAAAGCCUUGUGCGGCUGAGGAUGGGCCCGCGGCCUAUCAGCUUGUUGGUGGGGUGAUGGCCUACCAAGGCGACGACGGGUAGCCGGCCUGAGAGGGCGACCGGCCACACUGGGACUGAGACACGGCCCAGACUCCUACGGGAGGCAGCAGUGGGGAAUCUUGCGCAAUGGGCGAAAGCCUGACGCAGCGACGCCGCGUGAGGGAUGAC
rnacentral:rRNA from 1 species